GAGGGAGGGGAAGGGAAAGGCCGGGAUGGCGGAAGAGGGACCGUAGACAGAGGAGGGACAGAGGGGAAUAGAAGGGAGUAGCGGGCUAGGGACAGCACAGGAAUGAGUCGGGGGAGGUCGGGUUUGGGGGAAGAGGAGGGGAGGCUUUAGGGGAGAAAGAACAGGAAUACGGGGAGGGGGAAGAAAAGGGGUAAAGGGGUUGGGGGAGGCCGAAAAUGGCGAGAAAGGAGUCGGCUUUGGGGAGGAGAGACAAAGGUGGGAAAGGCACAGAACGAAGGGGUUAUAGAGAAGGCAGAAAAGAAGGAGAAGAGAAAGAAGGAAGGGUAGAGGCGGGGACAGCAGGGGAGGCCGAAGCGCCUCCUGGACCGGGCUGCGGAGCCCGGACACAAAGCGGCCCUCCGCAAGCUGCUCAGAGUGAGCAAAUGGCGGCCGAGCGCCUUUUCGGGAGUUAAAUAACCUCGGCCCCGCCCCGCGCAGCCGCCCUGGGGCCCCGCGCACCUGAGCCCGCCCCGGGCCCCGCCCCACAGGGCUCUUCGGCUCACUUCGGCUGCACUCGGCUAAACUCGGAUUGGUUCGGCUGUACUCGGCUAUACUCGGAUUGGUUCGGCUAUAAUCGGCUAUACUCGGCUAUAAUCGGCUCUUCGGCCACACUCGGCUACUGUCGGCUCACGGCUGAACUCGACUAUUUCCGGCCGCAGUCGUCUGGAUUCGGCACUUGGGCGCAGCUCGGCUCGGUUGGGCCGAGCUCGGUGCCCUCGCUGCGUUCGGCUCCCUCAGUUAAUUACUACUCAAUAGUUAUUUUUGUAAUUAAUUAUUCUUGAGACCAUCAUUCAUGUUAUUGAUUUACUACUGCAGAGCACAGAAGAUUCUGAGUUGGAAAGACCCCCGAGGAUGAUCAGGUCAGAUGAUGCCACGUGACUGGCCUACCUGGGGACUGAACUCAGAAUAUUCAUAUUCUCAACUCCCGAGCAAAUGUUGGCAUCAUGAGAAACAGCUGGGGAUGGCUGCUGCUGCUUUUCUGCUCAUGCUGUUUUACACAGCAGCCCCUUGGACAGCCCUCAGGCAGGAAUGGCUGGCACCCGACACGACAGCGUCAAACUUCUCCAAUAACCUGGAAUUCCUGUCCUCUCCAGCAUUUCCCCAAUGGCUCGGAAGAUGCCAGGGAGAAGUGAGCAAAACAAGUCCUGAGCUUUCACUUGGUCCGUGGCAAUCCCAACUGAGAAAUACAUGAUUGUCAUCAAAAACUUAAGAUCUGUUAGAAGUUCAAUGACAACACUGGGAUGGGAUUCCCAGAAACCUUCUUAAUAUUCUUGGCUCCAUUUUUAUAAUUUUUAGUCUCUCCACUGGCAGCUUGUAGAAUUUAUCCCAGGAUUUGGAGGUGAAGCAAGGUUGGCUUUGGAUUGACUUUCACCUCUGGCCCUAAUUUCCCUCAAAAACAUCCCCUACAUAUUCCAUGUAGAUUAACUCUUUACCCCAAAAUUGCCCUACCUGUCCACGACCAGUGAUUUUAUUUUCUCCUCAAAAUGUUCAUUCUCCAUCUUGGAGAAAACAUCCAUUUCUACACCCAAACUUUUUGCUCCAUGUCCACAACUGAUGACCUCAGUUUACCUCAGGAUGUUAAUUCCUGAACCUCCGGGGAUUAUUUCACUUUUCCUCCCCAAAUUUACCCUGUCUUUCCACUUCUGAUUUCCUCAUUUUUACAAGAAAAUAUUAAUCAUCUAUUCUAGGGACUAUCUUCAGUUUUACAACCCAAGUUUUCCUUACCUUAUUUUUACCCAAAAAUACUCAUUCUUAGAUUUUUUCUAAAGUUUUAUCCCCCAAAAUUCCCCUACUUUUCCACCAAUUCCCUCAUUUUUACUUCAAAAUAUUUAUUUAAUACCACGGAGCUUUUCUCGAGAUGUACUCUCACAAUUUUCCCUACUUGUCCAUACUCAUUGCCUCAUUUUUCCCAUUUUUCAUUUUCUUCUCCAGAGAAGGAUGGAGGCUGCCCUCGGAGGGAACCAGCCUGGUGGGACCCAGCUCUGGCACCCCGUUUCCUCUGGUUGCUGCUGUCUGGAAAGCCACAGCACGUUGCCAAUCUUGAGGGAUCUGCUCUGGUUUCAGCCUGUCCAUGCCCUGGUCACUGCAGUCCCAGUGCCUGAGACAGAGACAACCCUGACCAGAGUGGCCAGGGUCACUUAAAUAGAAAUGAAAUGCGCCGAACUUGCUGUGGACAGGAACUACUCUGUGCUUGCUUCAGUUUUAAAAUUGUAAGUAAAUUCUUGAUGCAUAAUCACUUAAUUCUGCCUCUAAAGGGAGAGAUUUUCCUCACCCCUAUUUACAGAUUGUCAUAUACAAAUGCACGUAACUUUAUAAAGGAAAAUCGGAAGUAAAAACCAACACCCUCUGCUACAUUAGAUUAUUGUUUUCUUGUGGCCAUUUAUUUUGUGUAAACUUGCCUUUCCCAGCGUGCUUCUGGGUUUCAGCUAUUUGGGAAUAAUUUCAGCUGACUCUUUGCAGUGAAAAUAUGAAGGUGGGGAUGAGUGACCAGUACUGUGGGAAGGGCUGUGGGUGUGCCUGGGUCAGGAGCAAAUGGUCAGGGUUUAUCUUCUCCUGGUUUGAGGCUGGCUCUGGCAACACCACAACAUUCCAAAGCAGACUAAUUAUUUCCUCCACUGUCACUUGUCCAGGCUCUCUGCAUACUGCCACGUCAGUGGAUACAUCUCAAUGCCACAGGGGCUUUCCUCCAAGUAGUGGUAAACCAAUUUCAAUUUUACAGACCUCUAUUGCUGCUGGAUUAGCUAAAGGACAUGACCUCCCUGUGAAAUCAGUUUUUAAACAAAAGGUAAACUUUGAACCUUGGACUACAGCUAAAAGAUAAGAGAUGCACACUAGAUCAAUACUUGGCAAAUAUUAGUCGCAUGCCAUGGGCAGAUACCUGUCUGCUGUACCUCCACAUGUUUUAGUGUGCUGGUGCAGCACAGAUAUUUAAGGGGGUUCUUUACAGAGCACAACCAUUAAAUAACUUCUAGCUGCUUAAAAGUGGGGUAACAUAGUGUAAGUCUAGUAAUUACCUUCCUCUGCAGCCCACCUAGAGUUCGGGGAACUGAGGGCCACCUGUUUGCACACAUGCAACAUUUUCCCUACCACACCAGUCAUUUCCUUUGCCCUAGUGCAUUACUUCUGUGAACAGCAGCUUUUAAGAAAAUUGUCAAGUUUGAAACAGUUCCUCUUCCAAGGCAAGCAAGCAGGUGGUUCACCAUCUCCAAUUAUGUAAUAAUAAUGUAAGUAUAAAUUGUGCUUCUGUGUUUUAUCAAUAGCUGGGUACAACACACACAUUUUGGACUCAGCAUUUCCUGAUUGUGUCCAUAGGUUAAAAAAAAAAAAGAGAGAGAGAAAAAACAGGAGCAUUCAAUUCCAUUUUUUCACCUUUUUUUAGGGGACUUUGCUAUUUGAUAGCAAGGCAGGAAACAUCUUUCUGUUGCUCCUUUCUGCCUUUGGUUUGUAACAACAGUGCCAAGCCUCUUGCAAGAGUUGGCACAUCAGCCAAUGUUCUGGGAGUCCAAAUCCCCAAGACAAAGGCAGGUGGUGUUACAUGCCAGGGAAGCAGCCCAAGAGAAGUCAGUGUUCCUCAGGAACAACCCAGAUGUGACAGAUGUUCCUGCCCUACACGUGGACAACAGCUCAGAGCCAGGAGCACCCAGAGUGCAGCAGUUUGUGUGCAGUGCAAGGGCUCUAGUAACAACUCCAGCCUGGCAGCCUCCUGGCCCAGGAAAGAACUGCAGUCCAGUAAGAAAAUGCAGCUGCCUUGAGGUUGCUUUGUACUCUAAAUUCCCAGAGCAACAGAGCUGCUGACGUCCUGUUUGGCAAGGACACUCAUGGUGAGAUGUCAGCAGCAUUGUCAUUCCUUCAGCAGCUUUUAGACCUGGAGAAGUUAAUCAGGACUUUGAUGCAGAGACAAACACUAGAGAGAGGCAGAAUUACUGUUUCUAAGCACAAAUUUGGACCAGAAAUUGAAUCUCCACCAAUGUGGAUUCCUGGAAGCAAGUUUUUACUUCAUGUCUCACUUAGGUGAAAAUAAAAAACAAACAAAAAUAAACCAAAACUGUCCCUACUUCCCUAGGAUACCACAUUGCCUAAGGAUUUUGGGCUGUUCUGUCUAGUGUCUCUCAGGGCUUGAAUGCAGACACCAGGAAACUCAGCUCAGAGCCAGUUCCUGCAUCUCUGGCCUCUGGUGCCUUCACCUCAAGCAUGGUUUGGUAACACACACCCACUAUAUAGUGAUACAUUUCUUGUAAUCAAAUACAGGUUUGUGGAGUACACAAGUCAUCUCAAUUCACUGUAUUUUUACUACCAAGUUGUCAUUUAUCACGUGGCAAACACAGUCUUCUGUCAGCAUCAGCACAAGUACCUAGCUUGGGAUUUUUCUUGCUGAUGAUGAAAUCCUAUUUCCUCUCCAGGCAGCCACUGGGAGCAGUGCACAGCCGGGCCUGCCUCUGGCAACACUGACAGAACAUUCCUUCACAGUCUGCUAGACAUCACCUUUCAGAGCUUUCACCCAGCACCACGAGAGAAGAAAGGCACCAAGAAAGUGCCACAUUAACUGCUGAGCGCCUUUCAGCUCAGCAGUAGGGAGUCUGCUCGUUUCAGCAGGGCAAGGGACUGCUGGGGAUGCAGCCUGGGAGAGGCACGAGGCAAGGCCAGGCCUUCCUGCACCUCCUGUGUGCACACAGGGGCCACCCCAGAGAAGCCAGGACAGUUCUCAGCUUACUAGCAUAGCUGUGGAAACUUCUCUGUCAGUAAAGCAUAGUUCAGACGUAGCACAGCACCAAAAUCAUUAUUUAGCUGGUACUGGAAAUAACGGAGUGCCUUUAGAAAGUACUGGGGGAAAAAAAUUACUUAAUCCAGCACCGUUACUUCACUAGGUGCUGGAUCAGCAACACACAUAAGCAAUACAUAGCAACCCUCACUCAGCUUCUUCCUGUUCUUAUGCUCAAACUAUGCUAUGUAAAGCUGUCUUUUAAAAAAAACCCAACACGAAACCCUCAAGACUUACUGUAAAUGAAAGCACAACUUCAAACAGCACUUAAAAAGCAGCAUUCAUUCAAACUGCCAUACUAAUGCCAGCUUUCAGGAGUUAAAUAAAAAUACAGGUACAAAUUAAAUAGAAACCUUUAAGUUACAAUUUCAGCCGAGCUGGAAUAUUUUGUCAAAUGACGCAUUUCGGGAAAACUUAAUUUGAUGAAAAAUUCCCAGUUUGGGGUAAAAGUGAGUCAGCCAGUUCUCACAAACCUGUGGCUGCCACUGCCUGACUUCAAGAGAACUCCGUCCCAUGCUCCCAACAGAUACAUUAAUCUUUCUGCUUUUCAGCAAAAAGCUGUAAUUCACAUGGUAAGUGCUGCACUACUACAUACUGGGUGAAAUCCGGCCCUGCAGAAUCCGCCAGGAAUUCUCCUGCCAGCAGCGCUGCUGUUUCUGUUAGAUUUCCUGCCACUGAGCAGUGCCCAGUGUUCCACCUCUCCAGAUCCCUCUGCAAGGCCUCUUGUCCCUCGAGCCCACGGCACCUCCCACUUGAGCAUCCUCAGCGAACUGGCUCCUGGUGUGUUGCACUCCUGCACCCAGAUCCUGGAUACCAGUGCUGAACAGUACGAGCCCUCGGACUGAGGCCCAAGGACUCUGCUGGCAAACCACAGCUCUCCUCUUCCCGUGGCACCUGGCCUGGCUUCCAGAGAGCCAAGAGCAGCGUGCCCUGUCCAGCCAAGCUGGCAACCUACCCCCCAGCCUGGCUUCUGCCUCUCCUGCGCGUGUUUCAAUCAAACCUGACCAGCACUCUGGGCCCCCUGACCAGCUCCUCAGGGGACGUGGCCAACUGCUCCCUGGCAGCUUAAAUUUGCUCUCUUGAAAUGCAGGGCGACAACUCUGCUUUUUGUAACUACACCACAAAUUUAAAUCCAACCAUUUCAUGGUCUCUGUGACCAGAGCCAUCACUCCUGCCAUGAGUCCUCUACUCACAAACCCCUGUGGCACAGCACCUUUCCUAGUUGGCUCGCUGAGCACUUGUGAUGAGAAAUUAUCCUUAACAAACUCCAGGAAUUCCCAGGCUGCUUGUCACAGCAGUAUGGUACUCAUGUCUAGUUAAGUUACUCACUGAUCCUCAAUUAAAAUUGGACUUUAUAUUCCACUAGCACUCAGGAAUGUUCUACUAGCAUUUAAGAAUUGUGAAACACACAUAAUCUUGCCACACAACCACUUAGCUUCGAACAUGGCCCCAGAGCCUGUUCAUUGACCUGGGUAAAGCAGAGCCCUGGCCCACGCCCACAGAGGCUUGAGAGGAAUGAUAAAUGUUUAACAUGCUCCAGCUCACAUAUGUGAAAUAGCUCCUACAUGCCAGCCAUGGGCACACGGUACCUUACUUCAGCAGGCACAGUGGGAACACAAGCGCUGUGCCAGCAGCAGGCAGGUGUCACCACACCACACCACUGUCCCCGCCACCCCCGAGCGAGCACAGCCCGGCUUGGCCCACGGUCACACCCCAGAGAUCUCCAUCCAUCCCCAGCAGCUGUGACCCCUCAGCUCCGGGCCCUCCUGUGCUCCUUCCCAGGCACUGCCGUGCCCGGUGCCACCCGGCCAGCCCGUCUGGGGCACAGAGAGCCCCGGUGCCAGCCUGGGAGCAGCAGCCAGGGCACAGCCAGAGCCGGGCCAGUCUGGGAGCAUUCCCAGAGCCCCAGGCACGGCCCAUCUGCCCCGCAGCCACACGCUGGCAGGGACCAGGGCCACCCAUCCCAUGCCAAGGACAGCUCCGCAGCCUGGGCAGUGGGAGAAAGCUCUCACGUAGGCUGGAAAAGCACCAGCUGAUAUCUGGAGGAAAUAACUCACUUCCCGCUGGGGAUAAAGGUUCAGAUUUGUAUAUGUGCUGUUCUGGUUUUUUCCAGUCAUAAUAAACUUCUGAGGAAGAAAACCAAGUUUUCAGGAGUAUUCUAGGAACAGCAGGUGAGUUCUAAACUUCAGUUCAUACAGAAUUAAUCCUGCAAGCAUUAAUUAAAAGUUGGGGCUUUUUGGUAAGCAGAGAGAAUAAUAUCUGAAUCCCUGAAUAAGCCUUGGAAGCAAAUAAUGUUGAAAUGACUGCAAAUUACACAGUUAAAGAGUCUUCACUUGGAUAUGAAAUUCAGUAAUUGUUUCUUGAUCUUUAAAUGGGCACAUUCUGUCUCCUAUUUAAUGAAAAUAAAGAUUAAUUCACUGAGAUCACUAAAACAAGAAUUGCAUGUGUUGAAUUGUUCUCCAAUACAACAGAAAAUUCCAAGAGGCUGGAAAGUGUUUUGUUUUAGAGCCAGCAGAAAGUUUUAGCUUUUAAAAAUAAAAACACUCCCGAACAGCAAGCUGAUACCAGUGAUUCAGCAAAAGAGGGGACCCAUACAGCAUGAACAGGCUCUACAGUGGCUGUGCCAUAUAACCCCUGGUGAGACUGAUACAGAUUGAUAGAGCAGGUACCUUUGGUCCAAAAAAAUUUACUGAAACACCUUAGCACUAUCUCCAAAUAAGAAUAUCAAUACAUAGAUAUUUAAAGUGGGCAUUUGCUGGAAACCAAACAGAAUUUUCCUCCCUUCUCCCUUAUUUUGUGUUUCUUUCAAAAAAGGUUACUUUUCACUGUUGGAUCUCAUUUCUCCGUUAAAAAAAAAUUUAAAAAGAUAUAAAAUUAAUUGAUUUAGCCAGCAAACUAGUUCCUUUCUCAAACACUAAUACUACUAACACUGUUAACCAGUAAGAAAUGAAACACAGAAUGGAAUUCUCCAAAUAAUUUCUCUUUAACUGUAUUCUGGCGACACCAUUGUGUAACUGGGAAACCUUGUGAGGCUAUGGCAAUAGAUUUCAGGCUCUGGUGAGCUGAACUGUGACUACACGGGCAGGUCGUGCAUGCAGUUGCUAGCGGUUAAAGACAGGCAGAUGUUUCCUUGCAGAGCUGGGCACUCCUCCCCUCCCCACCCAACAAGAACCGGUGUCCUUUUAAACCCAGCUGGGCCCGGCCAGCCCCGUUAGCCCAGUGACAUCUCCGCGGUGUGCGGGACAAAGGCGGACACGGAACAGCAGGUUAGUGACUGUCUGUUUUCACAGCCAGGGAGAGCAGAGCAGAGGCUGCUCUUUGUUCUCUAAAGCCAGCAGACGCGUGCCCCGCAGCUUUGUGGGCAGCCCUGUGGCCGCAGGAGCAUUCAGUGCCCGGGGGACGGGGCCAGCAGCUGGCCCCACGGGCAGGAGGUGCCGCAGUCCCGGGGCAGCUCAGGGCCCUGCCCGGAGCCCCCGAGCCCCGCAGCACAGCACGGCCCCUGU